GAUUAACGCUGGCGGCGUGCCUAACACAUGCAAGUCGAACGAGGUAGCAAUACCUAGUGGCAGACGGGUGAGUAACGCGUGGUCAACCUACCCUAGAGUGGGGGAGUAACUAGCCGAAGGUUAGCUAAUACCGCAUGAACGUAGCCGGGGCGAUCUCGGAAUGUUGAAAGGAGCAAUCCGCUCAAGGACGGGACCGCGUCCCAUUAGCUAGUUGGUGGGGGUAACGGGCCUACCAAGG
rnacentral:rRNA from 1 species